AGCGAACGCUGGCGGUAGGCCUAACACAUGCCAGUCGAACGGCAGCACAGUAAGAGCUUGCUCUUACGGGUGGCGAGUGGCGGACGGGUGAGGAAUACAUCGGAAUCUACUUUUUCGUGGGGGAUAACGUAGGGAAACUUACGCUAAUACCGCAUACGACCUACGGGUGAAAGCAGGGGAUCUUCGGACCUUGCGCGAUUGAAUGAGCCGAUGUCGGAUUAGCUAGUUGGCGGGGUAAAGGCCCACCAAGGCGACGAUCCGUAGCUGGUCUGAGAGGAUGAUCAGCCACACUGGAACGUAGACGCGGACAAGACUCCUACGGGAGGCAGCAGAGGGGAAUAUUGGACAGUGGGGGCAAGCCUGAUCCAGCCAGACCGCGUGGGUGAAGGAGGCCUUCGGGUUGUAAAGCCCUUUUGUUGGGAAAGAAAAGCAGCAGGUUGAUACCCCGCUGUUGUGACGGUACCCAAAGAAGAAGCACCGGCUAACUUCGUG
rnacentral:rRNA from 1 species